rnacentral:rRNA from 1 species
CGGCGGACGGGUGAGUAACGCGUGGGUAACCUGCCUCAUACAGGGGGAUAACAGUUAGAAAUGACUGCUAAUACCGCAUAAGCGCACAGUACCGCAUGGUACGGUGUGAAAAACUCCGGUGGUAUGAGAUGGACCCGCGUCUGAUUAGCUAGUUGGUGGGGUAACGGCCUACCAAGGCGACGAUCAGUAGCCGACCUGAGAGGGUGACCGGCCACAUUGGGACUGAGACACGGCCCAA